CCUACGGGUGGCUGCAGUGGGGAAUAUUGGACAAUGGGGGCAACCCUGAUCCAGCCAUGCCGCGUGUGUGAAGAAGGCCCUCGGGUUGUAAAGCACUUUCAGUGAGGAAGAACGCCUGGUGGUUAAUACCCAUCAGGAAAGACAUCACUCACAGAAGAAGCACCGGCUAACUCCGUGCCAGCAGCCGCGGUAAUACGGAGGGUGCGAGCGUUAAUCGGAAUUACUGGGCGUAAAGCGCGCGUAGGUGGCUUGAUAAGCCGGUUGUGAAAGCCCCGGGCUCAACCUGGGAACGGCAUCCGGAACUGUCAAGCUAGAGUGCAGGAGAGGAAGGUAGAAUUCCCGGUGUAGCGGUGAAAUGCGUAGAGAUCGGGAGGAAUACCAGCGGCGAAGGCGGCCUUCUGGACUGACACUGACACUGAGGUGCGAAAGCGUGGGUAGCAAACAGGAUUAGAUACCCCGGUAGUC
rnacentral:rRNA from 1 species